rnacentral:rRNA from 1 species
ACGGGAGGCAGCAGUGGGGAGUAUUGGACAAUGGGGGAAACCCUGAUCCAGCAACGCCGCGUGAGUGAAGAAGUGGUUCGCCAUGUAAAGCUCUAUCAAUAGGGAAUAUAAUGAAGGUACCUAACUAAGAAGCCCCGGCUAACUACGUGCCAGCAGCCGCGGUAAUACGUAGGGGGCAAGCGUUAUCCGGAUUUACUGGGUGUAAAGGGCGUGUAGGCGGGACAUCAAGUCAGAUGUGAAAGCACGAGGCUCAACUUCGUGUCUGCAUUUGAAACUGACGUUCUUGAGUGUUGGAGAGGCUAACGGAACUCCUAGUGUAGCGGUGAAAUGCGUAGAUAUUAGGAAGAACACCAGUGGCGAAGGCGGUUAGCUGGACAAUAACUGACGCUGAGGCGCGAAAGCGUGGGUAGCAAACAGGAUUAGAUACCCUGGUA